rnacentral:misc_RNA from 1 species
UCCUCGUUUAAGCGAGGCAGUCUGUCCGGAGUGCUCCCGACUCUCGCCGGGGUGGCAACAGGACACAAGGGUUGCGCUCGUUGCGGGACUUAACCCAACAUCUCACGACACGAGCUGACGACAGCCAUGCAGCACCUGUGUAUGCUGGUAUUGCUACCUCGUCAGACUUUCAUCCUUCUACUACAUACAUGUCAAGGCCAGGUAAGGUUCUUCGCGUUGCAUCGAAUUAAGCCACAUACUCCACCGCUUGUGCAGGCCCCCGUCAAUUUCUUUGAGUUUUAAUCUUGCGACCGUACUUCCCAGGCGGCAUAUUUAACGCGUUUGCUUCGCCACAAAAGGGGUCGAAUCCUCUUACAGCAAAUAUGCACCGUUUACAGCAUAGGACUAC